rnacentral:siRNA from 1 species
UACACGAAUCCGUCUAAACCUCCU